GACGGAGGAUGCAAGUGUUAUCCGGAAUCACUGGGCGUAAAGCGUCUGUAGGUGGUCAAAUAAGUCAACUGUUAAAUCUUGAGGCUCAACCUCAAAAUCGCAGUCGAAACUAUUCGACUAGAGUAUAGUAGGGGUAAAGGGAAUUCCAGUGGAGCGGUGGAAAUGCGUAGAGAUUGGAAAGAACACCGAUGGCGAAGGCACUUUACUGGGCUAUUACUAACACUGAGAGACGAAAGCUAGGGUAGCAAAUGGGG
rnacentral:rRNA from 1 species